rnacentral:lncRNA from 12 species
AAAACCGAAGCCAAAGCCAUAUUAACGUUGAAGGCCUAUAUAUAUAUGUUCUGUCCCAGAGUGCACUGAAAAUCCAAGGUAGGGAGCAAUCUGGCAUCUGGCUCUUAACUGCUCCAUCGUCAGCAAGCUCCCUUCCCGACCAGCUGCUUGGGCGUCCCAGCCAGCGGGACGGAUGCGGAGAAGGGGGAUGCCUCGGUCAGCUCGGUGCCGUCACAACAGACAUUUAUUCUUCACACUUCGGGAGGCGGCAGGUCCGACCGAGAUCAGGGUACCUCGCGGCUGGGUUCUCGGUGAGGCCUCUCUCCCUGGCUUGCAGACGGCUGCCUUCUCGCCGUGUCCUCACAUGGCACAGACGGAACCAGUCUCUUCCUCUUGUAAGGACGCCGAUCCCACCCGGGGCCCCCACCCAGGACCUCAUCUAAACCCAAGUUCUUCUCGGGACGCCUGGGUGGCUCAGUGGCUGAGCGUCUGCCUUUGGCUCAGGUGGUGACCCCGUGGUCCCCCUGCAGGGAGCCUGCUUCUCCCUCUGCCUGGGUCUCUGCCUCUCUCGGUGUGUCUCAUGAAUAAAUAAAAAUCUAAAACAAACAACCAACCAAAAUCCCAGAUUCUUCUCAAAGUUCCCACCUCCAAAUGCCAUCACACUGGGGUCAGGGCUUCAGCAUGUGAAUUUGAGGAGGGUGACAAAGUGCAGCCCGUGGCAGAGGGCAUGGCCCCGCUGUUAAGGAUGCUUUCUGAGGGUUGCGUGUAACACACGUGCUUCAGAGUUGCCGGCCCAACUUUAGGCACAGGGCCGCAGCUAACCACGAGACGAUGGGGGGUACACCCAGGUAAAUUGAGGGGCUAGAGGAGAGUUGGGAUUCAGACUUUUUUGCACAUUGCCACUCCUUUGUCCUCAUCAUGACACCUCGUGGCCCAAAGUGGCUCCUUGAGGGACCGUCCUCACCUCUGCAUCCCAGCCAAGAAGACAUUCCUCCCUCCGUCACAGCGUAGUGUGGGGAUGGAGUCCUUUACGUGCCUGCAGCGUAUCCAGCUAAACCCGGGGACCUUAUUACUAAUGGGAAAGGUUGGGCAGGGCGCCGGGGGCAACCAGCAGCGUUUUCUACACGCGCCCUCUGCUUGCCUCAAGGACCUGGGAGCCUGCUGCAUAACGGUGGCCUCCUGUUCCAGCAUAGCCCGCCCCGAUUCCGUCCCUGCUCAGUCUACACCCCAGGCUCCCCAAGCGCACAGGCCGCUCCUCCCAGAACGUGCCAGCCUAGCAAAUACCAGGCUGUCGUCAGCCGAGCAUUUGUUUGCUGAGUGGAGGUUGAGCUGCACCAGGUGUGGAAUCGGGGAGCGGAGGCCCGCGGUUGCUUUCCGACCUCAGGUGCAGGGAACGCUCUGGCCUGGCAGCAAGAUCACUGCCUGGCAUCGGAGGAGGCGCUUCACAGCCAAGGAGUGUCUGGAGCUGGGAACGGACCGGACGGGGACAGGAGGUGACGAGGACUGGGGAGCAGGGAGGGACCAUUGCCCUCAGCCCUUUCUCUGCAGCCAGGGGGCGGAGGGGGGUCCAGACGGCUCAGCCUGCCCCGUGGGCUCUCCCCUCUUUUACCUGCUCUGUGCUGGGCGGCGUGACUCGACUGCUGAAACUGUCCCGGGCAUGUCGGGCAGGGGGGAUGGUGAGGUCCUCCUGGGUCCUCACGGCCCCCCGGACAUGGCAAGGACUCCCACGAUGCACGCAUGCUUGGACAUCGCUAGCAGACGUGUCGCCUCGGAGCUGCCAGUGCAGGGGGUGCAAGGACCGUCCCUGCGAGGAGCCCGCAGCCUCACUGUGACCCUGUGCCCCGCAGCGGCCGGGCCCUGCAGUCGCAAAAAGCAUUUUGGUGACGGGCUUUGGGAGGAAUCAGAAAAUCCCGAGUAAUUAGAGCUCAUGCACAUAGAAAGGGGCGCACGGUGAGACCUGCGGCCUCCGUUUUAAGGGAGCCGAUUUACACAUUAAAACAAUAAAACACGUCCAAGGGAGCGUGGGCUCCA